rnacentral:tRNA from 1 species
GCCUGGGUGGCUGAGUGGGUUGAGCCCUGACUUCAGCUCAGGUCAUGGACUUGUGGUCUGUGGGUUCAAGCCCCAUGUCAGGCU